AUGUGCACGUCUUUAGAAAGAUUGAACCUAUGGGAUGAGUAUCGGUACAAACUUUUGGAUGAUGAGGAGAAACAUUUCUUGGUGCUUAUGUUGGGUGACUUCCGAGAUGCGAUGAUAUUCCCAGAAGAACUUGUGUGGCGUUUCAAAUGUGAGAUCCCAGGAGAGAUCAAGCUAGUAAGCCGAAAGGGUUAUAGUCACGCUAUUGUGGUUGCCAAGAACCAAGAAAAGCUUGUCUUUACAGUGGGUUGGAGGCAGUUUGUUGGACAGUAUGAUCUACAGAUGGGUGAUUCCUUAAUACUAAAAUACAAUGGGAACUGCCAGUUUGAUGUCAUAAUCUUUGAUAAGCUUGGCCGUGAAAAAGCAUUAUCGGUUGUUGUGGAUCCUUUUUUGCCUCAGGUCCAAGAAAAUCCCAACAAGGCACAUGAAAUCGGAUCUUCUAAAAAGAUAGAUGUGCCUUCUGAAAGAUACAAAAGCUGGACUGAAUAUCACUACACAAACUUGGAUGAUGAAAAGAAAUAUUUCUUAAUGGUUAUGAUGGGUGAUUUUCAACAUGAGAUGAUCAUCCCAGAAGAAUUUGUUCGGCGUUUCAAGGGCGAGUUCCGAAGAGAGAUGAUACUUGAAGCAAAAAACCGUUGCAGUUACAUUAUUGCAGUUGCCAAGAACCAAGAAAAGCUUGUCCUUACAGUGGGAUGGGGCAUAUUCGUUAAAACCUUUGGUCUAGAGAUGGGUGACACCAUAGUACUCAGAUACAAUGGAAACUCCCAGUUUAGUGUCAUAAUCUUUGAUAAACUUGGCUGUGAGAAGGCACUUUCAGUUGUGGAUCUUUUUCCGCCUCUUGUGCAAGAAAGGCACACGACUGUGAAAAGUUCCCAUUUACAUCCUCAGCCCAUACAAAUGGUACUGCCAGAGUCACCACCAACGAAAAGGCAGCGGCACUUCCAAAUGGAAGUGGACGAGUCAUGUCAAGGCAAAAUCACUGCAAUAAAUAUUUCCUCCGCCGAGCCAUCUGGAGAGUCUUUCUCCUCUGAAGAUAACCAUGGAACACGUGAUGUGCCUGGUUCCAAUUACAUUCUCAGGAAGAAGAAGGCCAAUCUAUCUUCAUUUCUUUUUGAAGGAGAUUCUUUCUCCUCUGAAGAUGGCCAUGGAGGACGGGAUGCCAUUGUCAAGAAGGAGGCAAAAUUAACUUCAGCUCAGAAGGAGCAGUUGAAUGACGGUUACAUCACCGUGCGCAAGACCAAACUAACUUCAGCUCAGAAGGAAGUGGUGAAGCAGAAGGUCCAAUCUAUACACUCAGAGAUCCCCAUCUUUGUUGCUGUGAUGAGCAAGACCAACGUUGAUUCAGGAUUUUUUCUGACUUUCUCCAGGUACUAUGCUAAUAAAUAUCUUGGAGAGGAGCCGCACAUGGAUCUUCAGCUGCUUGGCAAGAAGUGGGGGGUGCGGUUCCUUGACCACCGUUGCGAUAGAAAGCUUGGAAGUGGAUGGAGACAGUUUGUAGAAGAAAACAAUCUGAAGAUGGGUGAUAUCUGCCUCUUCGAGCUGCUGAGCAAUCAGAAGAGAACUAUGGAGGUCUAUAUCAUCCCUGCGAAUGGUUACAAUUACUCGGCAGGUGUCCAGAAUGAUGUGGACCAGGAAGCGCUCGAAGGUGGUUCAGCGGCGCUGCAGAGAGAGGCCCUUGCUCAUCACGCGGAUGGAGCGCGUGAUCCUGACUCGAUAUUGCUUCGCAUCACUAAUUAA
rnacentral:rRNA from 1 species